rnacentral:rRNA from 1 species
GUCUUUUUGAUUAUAAUAUAAAGUCUGACCUGCCCACUGAUAUUAAUUAAAGGGCCGCGGUAUAUUGACUGUGCAAAGGUAGCAUAAUCAUUUGUCUCUUAAUUGGAGGCUGGAAUGAAUGGUUGAAUGAAAUAUUAACUGUCUCAAUUUUAAAAAUAUAAAAAUUUAGCUUUUAAGUUAAAAGGCUUAAAUUAAUUUAAAGGACGAGAAGACCCUAUAGAUCUUUAUAAUUUAAUUAUAUUAUAAUAUAGUUAAAUAUUUAUUAAUAUAAUAAAAAUUAUUUUAUUGGGGUGAUAGGAAAAUUAAAUAAACUUUUUUUAAAUUUAAACAUUGAUUUAUGAAUAAUUGAUCCAUUAAUAAUGAUUAUAAGAUUAAGUUACCUUAGGGAUAACAGCGUAAUUUUUUUAAAGAGUUCAUAUCGAUAAAAAAGAUUGCGACCUCGAUGUUGAAUUAAAGUUAUUUUCAGAUGUAGAAGUUUGAAUAAUAGGUCUGUUCGACCUUUAAAUCUUU